CUCUGGGGAGAAUGCGGAGGCACAGCGUCAGGCUCCCGGCUGAGGCGCUUCCAUUCCCCCAGGGCUCAGUGCGCCGAGGCCUCUGUCUAAUGUGUCCUCUCUCUCUGCUCUUUCCCCUCUUCCUUCUCCCCACCAUGAGCUCACCACGCACCCAUGGGUGGCCUGACUCUCUGUAGUCCAGGCUGGCCUUGAACUCACAGAGAUCUGCCUCCUGAGUGCGGACACCAUGGCCGGCUCCCUUUCUCAUUCUUGUCUCUACCCCCCCCCCCCCAGGGUCUCACACUGUAGCCCAGGCUGGUUUCCCACUCGCUCUCCUGCCUUCGCCUCCUGGACCAUCCUCAGCUCUAAAUCGUAACCCUUGUGCAUCGUUUUCCCAGUGCCGGAGCUCCUCAUCUGGAGAGCCUUCUCCAAGGGUUCUCCCGGCCGUGGUCAGCUGCAGCAUGGCCAUCACCGAGGACACGCCAUACGGCGAGAAGACCACGUUGCGGUCCCCGGAGGCCUGGAGCACGCGCCGGAACACCUUCACUCCGAAGUCGGUGGCCUGGCGCGCCGUGCGGAGCUCUCGGCGGCGGAGAGCCGAGCCUUCCCCGCAGGCCAGGGCCAGGCCCAGGGCGAGGCAAGCGAGGGCUGGAGCCGGCUGCAUCCUACGCAGACGGCGGGGCCCUGGGAGGGCAGAGGCUGAAGGCUUUGACAGUUCUAUUCUGGGACCCGCGGUGGAGGGCGCCGGCCCCUGAAAGUUGACCUCUCGUUUCACCCUGACCUCUGAGGCGCGAAGGCGCCCGCGCACAGGUAGGAAUGCAGUUCUCAAGUUUGCUUUUUCUUUUUUAAAGCAAAGCUCCUUUGCUAAAUUGGUGAAGGGGCGGUUGUCUGGAGAGGGCCUGGGAGACGGUGCGUUUGCUCCUGACACAGGGCCCCAAGUGAGGUGUGACCAUCCUUCCCACCGCCCGGUCCUGGAUGGCCGGUGGAAGAGAGAGGAGGGGAGGGGAGGAGGGCGGUGGCCGGGACUUCCGGGGAGGAAUGUGCUCCCCGGCCCUCACCUGGAG